GACGAACGCUGGCGGCGUGCUUAACACAUGCAAGUCGAACGGAAAGGCCCUGCUUUUGUGGGGUGCUCGAGUGGCGAACGGGUGAGUAACACGUGAGUAACCUGCCCUUGACUUUGUGAUAACUUCAGGAAACUGGGGCUAAUACCGGAUAGGAGCUCCUGCUGCAUGUGGGGGGUUGGAAAGAUUCGGCGGUUGGGGAUGGACUCGCGGGUUAUCAGCUUGUUGGUGGGGUAGUGGCUUACCAAGGCUUUGACGGGUAGCCGGCCUGAGAGGGUGACCGGCCACCUUGGGACUGAGAUACGGCACAGACUCCUAAGGGAGGGAGCAGUGGGGAAUAUUGCACGAUGGGCGGAAGCCUGAUGCAGCAACGCCGCGUGCGGGAUGACGGCCUUAGGAUUGUAAAACGAUUUCGCCUGUGACGAAGCGUGAGUGACGGUAAUGGGUAAAGAAGCACAGGGUAACUACGUG
rnacentral:rRNA from 1 species